rnacentral:rRNA from 1 species
AUUGAACGCUGGCGGCAGGCCUAACACAUGCAAGUCGAACGAGUGGCGGACGGGUGAGUAAUGUCUGGGAAACUGCCCGAUGGAGGGGGAUAACUACUGGGAACGGUUGCUAAUACCGCAUACCUUCGGAUGUGCCCAGGUGGGAUUAGCGAGUGGGUGGGGUAACGGCACACCUAGGCGACGAUCCCUACCUGGUCUGAGAGGAUGACCAGCCACACUGGAACUGAGACACGGUCCAGACUCCUACGGGAGGCAGCAGUGGGGAAUAUUGGACAAUGGGCGAAAGCCUGAUCCAGCCAUGCCGCGUGUGUGAAGAAGGUCUUCGGAUUGUAAAGCACUUUAAGUUGGGAGGCGUUACCAACAGAAUAAGCACCGGCUAACUUCGUGCCAGCAGCCGCGGUAAUAC